UAGGGAAUCUUCCGCAAUGGGCGAAAGCCUGACGGAGCAACGCCGCGUGAGUGAUGAAGGUCUUCGGAUCGUAAAACUCUGUUAUUAGGGAAGAACAAAUGUGUAAGUAACUAUGCACGUCUUGACGGUACCUAAUCAGAAAGCCACGGCUAACUACGUGCCAGCAGCCGCGGUAAUACGUAGGUGGCAAGCGUUAUCCGGAAUUAUUGGGCGUAAAGCGCGCGUAGGCGGUUUUUUAAGUCUGAUGUGAAAGCCCACGGCUCAACCGUGGAGGGUCAUUGGAAACUGGAAAACUUGAGUGCAGAAGAGGAAAGUGGAAUUCCAUAUGUGGCGGUGCAAUACGCAGAGAUAUGUGGGACCACCAGUGGCGAAGGCGACUUUCUGGUCUGUAACUGACGCUGAUUUGCGAAAGCGUGGGGAUCAAACAGG
rnacentral:rRNA from 1 species